CCGCCCCUCAGGGCUUUGGGCUCAAAGAGCGCGGGGCGGGUCCGGCCAGCACCUCCUGCCGCAGCCGGGGAGAGCUGAGAGCUGUCUGAGCCGCUCCGCAGCCGCUGCCAGCAUGAGCAAGGGCAUCUUGCACACGCUUAGAACGAAAAGAGAACUCAUUCCCCUGGCCGGAAUAUUGUCCUUCGCAGCAGCUGGGGCGUUCUCUUUUUGUAUCUAUUCCCUCUUCCGCAAAUCUGAUGUGAUCAUUCACAAGAUUGGCAGUUCAGAACCAUGGGAAACUAUUGAUCCUACCAAGCCUCAGAAGCUGGUAACAAUCAAUCAGCAGUGGCAACCUAUAAAAGAGCUGGAAGAGGUGAAAAAGCUGACGAAGUGAGAAGUUUCUGUUGCCUCCCAAAGGUACCCUAUGAAUCUAGUGGAAUCAUUUCUGCACAAACUUGACUACUGAAAUCAGUGUGCGGAAAUGCUUCUGCUACAUUUUUAGGGUCUCCCUACAUUGUUUUGGCCUCUGGAUGAGGAGUUUGAUGUUGCUUUAGAAGCUGGCAUACAGCAUCCACAUAGUCCAAAAAUCUGAAUCAAAAUACUCAUUUUCAAUAAGCAUUUGAUGUAAAUUUUUGAGUAUUCAGAUGGUGAUUAUGGAUCAAAAAAGCCUUCAUAGUUUUUGUAGAAUUUCAGGAUUUGUUUCAAAACACAUUAGUUUUGCCAUUUUAUUAAUUUUUAAUAAAAUAAAUUCUACAUUUUUACAUUUCAUGUAAAUUCAAAAGCCUUUCUAAAUUGGGAAUCCUAGUCUCCUUUCAGAGAUACUGAACUUUCUGUUCUGUAUUUCAAUGUUGUAUGGAGACUAAAGGCAUAACCAGAGGAUGUCUUUGUAUGGCAGCAUAUGUGGUCAUUCAGUACACUUGCAUUCCUUGUCUCUGUUAGAUGUGAGAACAGAUUAACAAAACUAAUGUUGUGCUGCAAAUAUUGAAACUUACACACUGAGGAGUCCAAUAGGUUCUUUAACCUUCUUAUUUAAUUCUAAUUGUAUUUGAGACUGCAGAUUUAGAACCUCAAAACCUAAGGGUUAAGCAUGGCUAGAAGGAAAAUGAAAAUCAGGUAAAUAUUGUUCAUGAUUAAAUGUUUUUGAAGUUACUAGAAUUAGAAAAUCUGCAUCAUCCAAAACUACACAGUGUUAAUUUCUUAUCUUUGUGCAAGGUUGUUCAAGUGCAAGCUGCAAUGUACUGCACAAUUAACAAUAUUUUUAAAGAUUUCUACGUGCUAUUAGGUAUAUCUCUUUUAUCAAAUAGAAACUAGCUGAUUAAAAUUAGGAAUGAUUCUAUGAAGAGGCAGUUCCUCUUUAAGCUUCUGUGUGUUUGAUCAUGGGUUGGCCAGGGAAAGAAUGUAAUGGGCAGGGUCCCAGUAAAAUCAUCCCUUUCUGCGAGGAAGGGAGCAAAAGUGAAACAACUGCUAAUUGGGAAAAGUCCCCUUAAAUGAGUAAUAGUCAAGUGCUUUAGGUCAUUCUGCUGCAGCAAAGACAAGCUUCAUUUAGAAAAGCUGUCUCCUUAAUUCCAAGGUGGCUUUGCUUCAGAAGCUGUUUUCUUCAACUGAGAAAAAAAAUAAUCUAAAUGUUGCAUAAAUAUUUGUUUAUCUAGUAAGGAUGACUCAGCAGCAUUUAUGUUUUAGAGUGAGAGGAACUACUAGUCUUCAGAAUAAGCUUGUGUUUAAGGAAUGACAUUACAAGAAGAUUGAAUAUCAUAGAACCACAAAAAUACAGAGCUCUGAGGAAUACAAGUUUUAAGUAUUUUAAAACAGAAUAUUUUAAAAUCUUUCUGUGUAUUUCUACUGGACUGUAGCAAAAACAAAAUGCCAUGCUCCAAGUUGAUGCAUUAAUUGUUCUUCAAUAACUCACUUUUUUUAGCUGCAAAUACUAUGACCUAAGUAUCUGUCAACAUUGGAAUAAUAAAUCGGGAAGUGCCCGUGGCUCUGCUCAGCUCGGAGCUCUUGGUGAACGCUGGGAGCGCUGCGCCAUCGUCUGGAAAAGCCGGGAACGGCCUGGAAAGCUCCCCGGGGAGGGGAGCCUUUGUCCAUACAGCACAGAAACUCCUUCCCAGCCUCAGGCUCUCCUGCUGCUCAUCCAGAGAGCUGCACUGCUGCUGCUCAUGCAGGAUGGCUGAAGUGGAAAGGAACCCCUGGAACCUGUGCAGUCCUGCUCAAAGGAGGGUCAGCCACAGCAGCUUGCUCAGGGCUGCUUCCAGGUGGGUUUCAUCUAUUUCCACUCCACAACCUGUUCUAGUCUUUGACCACCUGCUGGCACUGGGAGCAGAAAAGGAGGAGCAAUUGCUGCAGAACUGAGGCUGCUCCCUGUAGCUGCUCCUAGAGAGAAGAGCAGUACAGAUUAAUUUUAUGGGCCACAUCUGGCCCAUGAACCACCACUGGAUCAGUCUG